GUGCUUGCUUUGGCAGCACAUAUACUAAAAUUGGAACGAUACAGAGAAGAUUAGCAUGGCCCCUGUGCAAGGAUGACAUGCAAAUUAGUGAAGCAUUCCAUAUUUUU
rnacentral:snRNA from 1 species